rnacentral:piRNA from 1 species
UGCUAUGAAGACACUCAGGAGCAAGA